rnacentral:rRNA from 1 species
GACGAACGCUGGCGGCGUGCCUAACACAUGCAAGUCGAACGCUUCUUUCCUCCCGAGUGCUUGCACUCAAUUGGAAAGAGGAGUGGCGGACGGGUGAGUAACACGUGGGUAACCUACCCAUCAGAGGGGGAUAACACUUGGAAACAGGUGCUAAUACCGCAUAACAGUUUAUGCCGCAUGGCAUAAGAGUGAAAGGCGCUUUCGGGUGUCGCUGAUGGAUGGACCCGCGGUGCAUUAGCUAGUUGGUGAGGUAACGGCUCACCAAGGCCACGAUGCAUAGCCGACCUGAGAGGGUGAUCGGCCACACUGGGACUGAGACACGGCCCAGACUCCUACGGGAGGCAGCAGUAGGGAAUCUUCGGCAAUGGACGAAAGUCUGACCGAGCAACGCCGCGUGAGUGAAGAAGGUGUUCGGAUCGUAAAACUCUGUUGUUAGAGAAGAACAAGGACGUUAGUAACUGAACGUCCCCUGACGGUAUCUAACCAGAAAGCCACGGCUAACUACGUG